rnacentral:rRNA from 1 species
UAGGGAAUCUUCGGCAAUGGGGGGAACCCUGACCGAGCAACGCCGCGUGAGUGAAGAAGGUUUUCGGAUCGUAAAGCUCUGUUGUUAAGGAAGAACGAGUGUGAGAAUGGAAAGUUCAUGCUGUGACGGUACUUAACCAGAAAGGGACGGCUAACUACGUGCCAGCAGCCGCGGUAAUACGUAGGUCCCGAGCGUUGUCCGGAUUUAUUGGGCGUAAAGCGAGCGCAGGCGGUUAGAAAAGUCUGAAGUGAAAGGCAGUGGCUCAACCAUUGUAGGCUUUGGAAACUGUUUAACUUGAGUGAAGAAGGGGGGAGUGGAAUUCCAUGUGUAGCGGUGAAAUGCGUAGAUAUAUGGAGGAACACCGGUGGCGAAAGCGGCUCUCUGGUCUGUAACUGACGCUGAGGCUCGAAAGCGUGGGGAGCGAACAGG